UACGUAGGGGGCUAGCGUUGUCCGGAAUCAUUGGGCGUAAAGAGCGCGUAGGCGGCCCGGUAAGUCUGCUGUAAAAGUCAAAGGCUUAACCUUUGAAAGUCAGUGGAUACUGCCGGGCUAGAGUCCGGAAGAGGCGAGUGGAACUCCUGGUGUAGCGGUGAAAUGCGCAGAUAUCAGGAGGAACACCUAUUGCGAAGGCAGCUCGCUGGGACGUAACUGACGCUGAGACGCGAAAGCGUGGGGAGCAAACAGG
rnacentral:rRNA from 1 species